UUAUGACUUUGUUUACUGUCUUUUGUCUUGAAUCGAGGGUUUAUCGAAAAUAAACUCUCUACUUUUUUGGAGGUAGUGAUAUGAACUGCGUAUCAGACCUUACUACGUGGGAAAACACGAGAUUUUUUGUUGUUGUUGAAUUUAUUUUGUUUUUAGUGAGUUGUGGACCUUGUAGUGGAUGGAUAAUUUUCAUUUUGUUAGAGACUUUGAGUUUGAGAUUCGAGUCCUUGAUAUGGAAAAAAUUUUGUUAGGGAGCAUUUUGAGGUUUCUUUACUUUAAUUAGAGGAUUCAGGUUUGAGCCUUCGUUAUGAAAAAAAUUCUGUUAGGAAACGUUUGAGGUUCCUUCACUUAUUUAAAGGAUUCAGGUUUGAACCUUCGUUAUGAAAAUUUUUUUGUUAGGAAGCGUUUGAGGUUUCUUUACUUUAAUUAGAGGAUUCAGGUUUGAGCCUUCGUUAUGGAAAAAAUUCUGUUAGAAAGCGUUUGAGGUUCCUUUACUUUAAUUAGACGAUUCAGGUUUGAGUCUUCGUUAUGAAAAAAAUUCCGUUAGAAAGCGCUUGACGAGGUUCCGCAACUUAAAUUAGAGGAUUCAGGUUCGAGCCCUCAGCCUUCGUUAUGAAGAAAAUUAUGUUACGAAGCAUUUGAGGUUCUUUCACUUAAUUAGAGUAUUCAGGUUUAACCCUUAGUUAUGGAAAAAAUUCUAUUAGGAGCACUUGAGGUUUUCUACUUUUAAUUUAGAAUCCGA
rnacentral:lncRNA from 1 species